rnacentral:rRNA from 1 species
UACGUAGGGGGCAGGCGUUUGUCCGGAUUUAUUGGGCGUAAAGAGCGUGUAGGCGGCCAUACAGGUCAGCUGUGAAAACUCGAGGCUCAACCUCGAGACGUCGGUUGAAACCGUAUGGCUAGAGUCCGGAAGAGGAGAGUGGAAUUCCCGGUGUAGCGGUGAAAUGCGCAGAUAUCGGGAAGAACACCCGUGGCGAAGGCGGCUCUCUGGGACGGUACUGACGCUGAGACGCGAAAGCGUGGGGAGCGAACAGG